rnacentral:rRNA from 1 species
CAUGUCCUACGGGGCGCAGCAGUGAGGAAUAUUGGUCAAUGGACGAGAGUCUGAACCAGCCAAGUAGCGUGAAGGAUGACUGCCCUAUGGGUUGUAAACUUCUUUUAUAUGGGAAUAAAAUGUUCCACGUGCGGGAUUUUGUAUGUACCAUAUGAAUAAGGAUCGGCUAACUCCGUGCCAGCAGCCGCGGUAAUACGGAGGAUCCGAGCGUUAUCCGGAUUUAUUGGGUUUAAAGGGAGCGUAGGUGGAUUGUUAAGUCAGUUGUGAAAAUUUGCGGCUCACCCGUAAAAUUGCAGUUGAAACGG